rnacentral:rRNA from 1 species
AGUGAACGCUGGCGGCAGGCCUAACACAUGCAAGUCGAGCGGCAGCACGGUAAUUGCUCGUUCUUUCGGGGGGCGACGGGCGGGUGAUGCAUGAGAAUAUGCCUGUCUAUUGGUUAUAACGUCCGGACGUGGGCACUCAUACCGCAAUACCGCAUACGGCCUACGGGUGAAAUCAUCGGAUCUUCCGACCUUGCGUGAGUCUAGGACGGAUUAGCUAGUUGGCGGGGUAAAGGCCUACCAAGGCGACGAUCCGUAGCUGGUCUGAGAGGAUGAUCAGCCACACUGGAACUGAGACACGGUCCAGACUCCUACGGGAGGCAGCAGUGGGGAAUAUUGGACAAUGGGCGCAAGCCUGAUCCAGCCAUACCGCGUGGGUGAAGAAGGCCUUCGGGUUGUAAAGCCCUUUUGUUGGGGAAGAAAAGCAGCAAGCUAAUACCCCGCUGUUCUGACGGUACCAAAAGAAUAAGCACCGGCUAACUUCGUG